rnacentral:rRNA from 1 species
UACGAAGGGGGCUAGCGUUGUUCGGAAUUACUGGGCGUAAAGGGCGCGUAGGCGGCACUGUUAGUCAGGCGUGAAAGUCCUGGGCUCAACCUGGGAACUGCGCUUGAUACGGCAGAGCUAGAGGAUGGAAGAGGCUCGCGGAAUUCCCAGUGUAGAGGUGAAAUUCGUAGAUAUUGGGAAGAACACCGGUGGCGAAGGCGGCGAGCUGGUCCAUUACUGACGCUGAGGCGCGACAGCGUGGGGAGCAAACAGG